rnacentral:rRNA from 1 species
AGCGAACGCUGGCGGCAGGCCUAACACAUGCAAGUCGAACGGACUCUUCGGAGUUAGUGGCGGACGGGUGAGUAACACGUGGGAACGUGCCUUUAGGUUCGGAAUAAGCCCGGGAAACUGGGUCUAAUACCGAAUGUGCCCUUCGGGGAAGGAUUAUCGCCUUUAGAGCGGCCCGCGUCUGAUUAGCUAGUUGGUGGUGUAAUGGACCACCAAGGCUACGAUCAGUAGCUGGUCUGAGAGGANGACCAGCCACAUUGGGACUGAGACACGGCCCAAACUCCUACGGGAGGCAGCAGUGGGGAAUCUUGCGCAAUGGGCGAAAGCCUGACGCAGCCAUGCCGCGUGGAUGA